rnacentral:rRNA from 1 species
AGGGUUUGAUUAUGGCGUCAGGAUGAACGCUGGCGGCGUGCUUUACACAUGCAAGUUGAACGAAUUAAAGUUUUCGAAUUUUAGUUAAGUAGCGAACGGGUGAGUAAAACGUAAGAAUCUAUUUUUAGGGGAGGAAUAACUAAUGGAAACGUUAGCUAAUACCUUAUAAACUGAGAAGUGAAAAACUAAAAAUUGCCUAAAAGUGAGCUUGCGCCUGAUUAGCUUGUUGGUAAGAUAUUCGCUUACCAAAGCGACGAUCAGAAGUUGAUCUAAGAGGGUCAUCUACCACACUGGGACUGGAGAUUCGGCCUAGACCUCUACGGAGGGCAGCGGUGAGGAAUUUUCCGCAAUGUGCGAAAGGCUGACGGAGCAAUGCCGCGUGAAGGAUGAAGGCCUAUGGGUCGUAAACUUCUUUUCUUAAUGAAGAAAUAGGACGGUAAUUAAGGAAUAAGCAUCGGCUAACUCCGUGCCAGCAGCCGCGGUAAUACGGAGGAUGCAAGCGUUAUCCGGAAUCAUUGGGCGUAAAGGGUUUGUAGGCUACUUUUUAAGUCUACUGUUAAAGAAUAAGACUUAACCUUAGAAAAGCAGUAUGAAACUAAAAGGAUAGAGUUCAGUAGGGGUAGAGGGAAUUCUCGGUGUAGUAGUGAAAUGCGUAGAUAUCGAGAGGAACACCAAUAGCGAAAGCACUCUACUAGGCUGUAACUGACGCUAAGAAACGAAAGCUAGGGGAGCCAAUGGGAUUAGAUACCCCCAGUAGUCCUAGCUGUAAACGAUGGAUACUAAGUAUUGGAUAAUAAAAAAUUCAGUGCUGUAGCUAACGCGUUAAGUAUCCCGCCUGGGGGAGUAUGCCCGCAAGGGUGGAACUCAAAGGAAUUGACGGGGGGCCCGCACAAGCGGUGGAGCAUGUGGUUUAAUUCGAUGCAACGCGAAAACCCUUACCAGGGUUUGACAUCCCAUAUUUUUUUUCUAGAAAUAGAAAAAUUGACGUGGAGACAGGUGGUGGCAUGGGCUGGUCGUCAGCUCGUGUCGUGGGAUGUUGGGUUAAGUUCCCGUAACGGAGCCGUACCCCUUGGUCUUUAGGUUCGAUAGGUCUAAAGAAACCUGCCCGAUAUAUAAAUCCGGAGGAAGGUGUAGGGAUGAACUUCAAGUCAGCAUGCCCCUUAUAUUCUGGGCGACACACGUGCUACAAUGGUUAAGACAAUGGGAUACAAACUUGUAAAAGGAAGCUAACCUCAAAAACUUAAUCGAAGUUCGGAUUGUCGACUGAAACUCGUCGACAUGAAGCUGGAAUCGCUAGUAAUCGCCGGUCAGCCACACGGCGGUGAAUACGUUCUCGGGCCUUGUACACACCGCCCGUCACGUUAGGGAAGCUGAUUACGCCCGAAGUCAUUAAUUUAACCUUUUGGAGAAAAAUGCCGAAGGCAGAGUGAGUAACUAGAACGAAGUCGUAACAAGGUAACC